GCCUUUUCUUCAUUUUUCCUGAUAGAUAGAAAAAGAAAUACCAUGUAUUAUCAUUUAAAUAUUAAACACAAUAACCAGAAUUCCUAAAAAAUAAUUUCUAGUUCAGCCCAUUUUAGGAUCUUUAAAUCUUUAAAAGAGAUAUUUUAAGACAGAAAACAUGGAUCUCUUUGAAGUUUUUGGAAGAGAACCACCUUCUGGCUUCUGGCCAAGUUAGCAGCUAGAAAUGAUAUCCCACAUUGGCAGGUGUCGGCCCUCUUUUAUUGUCAUUCCCCACCCCAUACUUCUUUGCAAAACUCAAGCGUUUUGGAUCAAUCACAUCAACUUUGAUUAGUAUUGUCUUACCAUUCUCUUCUUCAUUCCAUUCGAUGGAUUCCUUCUCCAGUUGCUUCAUUAUCAGCUUCUUCCGUUUCCCUUUUGUGGUAUCUUCUCCAUUGCUCUCCAUUAUGACUCUUAGGUACUUGAUAGAUGGGAUGCCACAAAGAGAGGUUAAAUGGCGCCUCAUAAGAUCUAAAGAUUCCUUGGGUUCAAGAUCGUGCAACUUAACAGAGACUACCUCAUCAUCUCUGCUACCAAAGUCACAGUUAAUGUUAUUGUAUGGAGCAAUAUACAGAAAACACAAGUUGAAUGUAAAGUACAUUUUGCACUAACCUGGUUUCAAUGAGCUUUUGACAAGAUUUAUCAUCUGCUUCUCUAGCCUUUUUGUUAAAAAAUUGUCCCUGCUCUAGGAGUUUAUGUGCCCUUGCAUGAUCACCCUUGACAAAUGCAUCAAUAGCAGCUUUAUAGUACUCUUUCAUUGUAUUCCGAUGUUCCUUGACAGCUAUACGUAGGACCUCAUAGCUGUUAUCAUCCUCCUCAUCUUUUCCAGUAACUACUUGUGGUUCUGCAGUAGAAGGCUUGUGUUCUCUAGUAGCAUCCUUAGGACAUUCAACCACUAGUUUACCAAAUGCUUUUGAUCUCUUCACUACCCUCACUCGGCAUGUUAUUUUGGGUGCUUCUUCAGAUCUAUCUGAAAAAUCAAACAAUGCUUGUAGAACUUCCUUCUGAAGACCAAUUCUAUCUUUUUCUUUUUUUGGUGAACCUGUUAAAUUUCCAACCAUCAAUCCAUCUCCGUCACUUUGAGCAGAAUCUAGCUGUUGCACUUGUUGAUGAAGUGGAACAGAUUCCUGCUCUAAAAAUUUUUCUGUAGAAUUUUCAUCAUCCAUGCCACCAACAUUUUCACAAUUUUCUAGAGUUGAAGCUGAUAAAUCAAGAAGUUCGUUAAUGCUCUUCUGCAUGUCAUACCCACAAUGGUCAAGAACCUCUCUAAUCACAGGCAUGUCAAGUUGAAAGCCUUCUCCAAGCAUCUUAAAAAGAAAUUCCUCAAUAUCAACUUGUGAAAUUUUGUUCCUUGUUGUCACACUAGAUGGAUUUUUCUCACUCCAAAUCUCAGAGACUGGAAAGUCCUUAGAGUCUAACUUCAGUGGUUUCCUUGCUUCAGUAGACUCAUAUGUCAAUGGCCUAGGUUUAGCAUACUCUUUGCCAAUUACAUUUGAAACAGUACCCAUUGAUAUAGAACAUUUUUUUGACCUUAGUUCUUUGGUCCUAUUUUGUCCAGCAGAAGUCUUCUCAAGAUGAUUAUCAGAUGGCCAUUCUGAUGAUAGCUUUGAUAGUGUUCUUGUUCUUUCCGAUACAAAAGGAAAUAUCAAUGGUGUGGCAUUUUCAUCUGCUAACUUCUCAGCAGUAACUGUGGUAGAGGUAGUUCCAUGCAUUCCACACAGAAUUUCUGCAGCCAAAUUUGUGUCUCGCCUUCCCUGGCAAUAAGCAGAUGCAAUAUCAUCAAGAGAAAACGCAGAACCAAAAACUUCAAGCAGCUCUUCCAAGUCUUUCUUGUUCACAUCACUUUGAGCAGUGCUGGAGAUUGCAUGCAUUUUCACAUAUGAUAGUUACAUGAAGGGGCAGAGACACUAGAGCUCUAUUUUCAAGAAACUGUGCUUCUUGUGCAAGGAAAAGUAGGGGGUCAGACUUCAGAGGAAAGGGUAAUGAAGCUGUGUCAUCAUAAAUUUAUUUAUUAAUUAUCUAAUUGAUUGUUUGAUGAGAACGAGAUGAGCAUGAGAAAUGAGAAUGAGCA
rnacentral:misc_RNA from 1 species